UACAGAGGGUGCGAGCGUUGUUCGGAAUUACUGGGCGUAAAGCGCGCGCAGGCGGCCUUUUAAGUCUCGUGGUGAAAUGCCGGGGCUCAACCCCGUGCCCGCCGGAGAUACUGGGAGGCUGGAGACGAGUAGAGGCAAGCGGAAUUCCGGGUGUAGCGGUGGAAUGCGUAGAGAUCCGGAAGAACACCGGAGGCGAAGGCGGCUUGCUGGGCAGUUGCUGACACUGAUGCGCGACAGCGUGGGGAGCAAACAGG
rnacentral:rRNA from 1 species